CCAUGUUCUCUUUUGUCUUUUUACUAAUUUUGUUUUCUCUUGAUACAAUUGUAAUUGUUAGUAGAUAAAACAUAACUUAUAAGAUGAUAAUCAUUCCUUAUGUAUCACUUUAGCACUAUGAUUGCUGAAAUCAAUUGAAAAUUGAAGGAAAACAUCAAAUAAAACAAUUUCAAUAUCUGCAUCAUAAAAGAUGUUUUAAUUAAUUAAAAAAAAGAAAUCAUCAUUCUCGACAGAAAUUAUUUAUUACAUUGGCUUAUUGUUGGUAUUAUACAUUGGAAUGAAUUUUCCUAGUUGUUACCCUAAAUUCACUAAACGCACACACACACAAAAGAACGAAGGAAAGAAACAGAGAAGAGAAGAGAGAAGGGUGAGCUCGAAGGGGGAAGAAGAGAGAUCGAGAAAGGGAGAUGGAGAGCUCGAGAGUCAGGGAGUAAGGGAAUGGGAGGAGGACGCUGCGACGAUCAAGAAGGCUUUGACUUCGUCAUCCUCGUGCAUCCGUCGCUGCUACCAUCAUCAAUUGAAGCUGCUGCGCGUGGAGAGAAGGGGAGACGACGCCGCUGGCUCUGUCAUGGAUCGCCGACGCCGUUCAAGCCACUACAAGAGGAGAACGCCGCUGCGUGAAGGGAGGUGAUGAGCGAAGUAGAACGCGUACAGGAAGAAGGAGAGCACGACGACUAGAAGGAGGCAGCGCCGCUGCCGUUGCUGCUAGGGCUAGUCGCUGGAAUUCCUGGUCCUUACUGAGCUCUGGAGAAGACAAAUUGUUGCGCCAUCCUCUUCAUUUUGACUCUGAACCUCCAUUCAUAACCCUGUAACGUUUCCACUCUUGUUCUGUUUAGCAUUUUGUUUCUCUGCUAUAUACUUAUUUUAAUUACGGUAGCCGAUACCAGUGUUUUAGUGCUGAUGUGUUCUGCUGGAACUGUCAAAAUUGUUGUUGCUGCAAGUGUGAUCAUGGUUGGUGCUGCUGCCGCGUCCUGAUUAUGUUGGAAUUGUUGCUGUUGCUGUGAAUUCAAAAAGAGCAGGUUUAUCGUGGUUAAUUCCUUGGGUUUAGCUAAUUGAGGUAGGGGAUUUAAUUUAAAUGAUUUUAAUUUAAGAAAUGCCUACAAAAUUUAUUGAAUAACUGCAAAUAUGUUUAAUUAUUGUGAGUAAUUGAUUAAUUAUAUGGAUGUUGAGUUGUGGCUGCAAAUGUGAUUGAGCUUGUUGAUUUUGUGAAAUUGAUUGGUUAUGUGUGAAUUAUGAAUUGUGGAUAAGUAAUUGCUGAGAAUGCUGAAUCUUGAUGGAUUAUAUUGGUUGAUUGCUGUUGAGUUAGUUAUUAGAUAUAUUGUAAUAGUGGUGAACUUGGUUGGUGAUUGUUUUGAAAUUGAUUUUGAGAGGUAUUGAAGGUUGAAUCUUGAAAUAUUAAACUUUUUGUUGAAAAUAUGAUUUUCUGCAUUACUUUUAAAUGAAGUUAAAAACUAUAACUAAUUCUGUAAUGAUCGGAAUUGCGUGGGGCCAAGUCUAGGUUAAACUUGGGAAUAGAUGGAACUGGACUGGAAAAUUUGAGACAUUUUCGUUAAAUAUACAAUGUAUGGCGAAUUUUUGAAGUCAGGUCGUUGAAUUUUUCCUGCUGCAAAAAAAUUCGAAUAGGGCAGCAACUUGGUUGUCUUGCUACAACUUCUACGAGCUGAGUUCUAGAGCGAAAUCAAUUUUGUUUUAAAAUUUGAUUAACUUGGUUUAUUUCCGUAAAACUUCAGAAUUUUAGGAGUUAAGGAUUGAGAGUUGUGAAUUUUUGAAAAUUGGUGAUCAAAGUUGGAAAGAAUCAGUUUUCAGCAAGUUACGCAUCAACUUCCAAUGCUUGUAACUCUUAGAAUUGAACAGCGAAUGGGUUGCAACCAAGACACAAUUGUUGCUAGAUAAGUUAAGAGUCUCCAAACCAAAAUUUAGCUUAAUUGAAGUUUUGUAGUAUAUGUUUUGCAAGUUGAAAGAUACUAAGCUUGCUGGUUAUGCAAGUUGAAAGAUACUAAGCUUGCUGAUUUCUAAAACAGAUUUUGACAUAUUCCUAUCUAACUUUCAAGCUAUAUAACUCCUUCAUUAAAAAUGGUAUUGAUCUGGAAUCAAUUGGAAAAGAGACCUAGAUAAGUUAAGUUAAACCAUAUUAAUUUUAAAGGUCAUUGAAUUUAAUUUGGAUUAUAUAUGGAAUUUUGAAUAUUGUAGGCUGUUGCUGUUUUCUAGUUUUUAAGUACUGCAGAGUAGUCACGAUUUUCCUUCUAUUCCCAAGGCUGGAAUCAAUUGGAAAAGAGACCUAGAUAAGUUAAGUUAAACCAUAUUAAUUUUAAAGGUCAUUGAAUUUAAUUUGGAUUAUAUAUGGAAUUUUGAAUAUUGUAGGCUGUUGCUGUUUUCUAGUUUUUAAGUACUGCAGAGCAGUCACGAUUUUCCUUCUAUUCCCAAGGCUAGAGUGAUAAAAAAAAUUAUGAUUUUUAGUUUAUUAGAAAGCUUAAUUCGAGACGGCCGCCUGGACAUAAAGUGUGUGUAAUUCCGAAUUCAUUUGGUAUUUUGAAAACAUAAUUGAAAUUAGACUGUCGAGGUUGUUUGGUGACAACCUUGAAUAUGAGAUUUAAGAAUAGAUUUUCUAUACUAUUAUCAGAUGUUUUUGAGAAUAUAUUGUUGUGGCAAUUGCUGAUAAAAGGCUGGUGUAAAGAGGGAACCUGUAAGGGUGGCUAAGUUCUAUUUUUAGAGGAGAGUAUGUCCAAAUUUUUAUAAAAGUAUAAGGAUUUAAUUAAAAUGAAUAUUUAAUGCUUGUUUAAUGGUGAUAACCAUUGUUGUCAAACUCGCGAGUUAACUCGUAAACUCGCACACGAGUUUACGAGUUUAGGUAGUGGAAUCGAGUUAACUCAGACACAAACUCGUUUCUGAGUAGACUCGGGUAGACUAGGAUAAACUCGGUCAAACUCGCGAGUUUAUUCAUGAGUCAGCGAGUUUGAUUUAGGUUGGGUUUUUUGCCAAAACGGCCCGUUUUGGGCAAAGAAAAAAAAAAAAGAAAGGCUGCAAGGGAGCAACCCACUAACCCAGCUAACCCUAAAUCCUCUUUACUCGCACUCACUCUCUUCUCCUCUCCAAGCUCUCUUCUUCUUCGCGUUUCGUCAUCAACAGUCCAUCCCUUGCCGCCGUCUGUCCCCGAUCUGUCACUGCCGUUCGCCGUUUCUCAAACCACCGUUCUCUCACUCUUGCUCUCUCACUCAGCUCAACACACUCUCACUCUCUCGCUCCCUGUUCUGCAUCGAAGAACACAGAUUCGUGGAGUACAUCAGUCAGCACAACACAGCGACACCAGUGUCAGACACGCUUCCGUCGGUCGUUGUGGAGCACAGUUCCGUCGGUCGUCGGGGAGCACAGUACAGCAACGCGCCAACGCCAGUGUCAGCUACUCAGCUGAGCCUACUUCAUUCUGCCAUCUUAGCCUUCAGGGACACAAAUACAAAAUGUCUGAAACAAAUGAUGUUUCUGAUGAAGAUGGUGAAGAUGAUGAUGUUGAUGCCAUGGAAGAUGAAGAUAUUGGAGGAUUUCAGUUUUAGACUUUUACUUUAUUAGAACAUUUAGUUGUUGCUUUGUUAUUUUCUUUUGUUUUUCGGUUGUGUUAUAUGAAGCUUUGAUUGUGUGAUUGUGUGUUUUAUGUUGAACUAGAUGCAUAUUUGUGAAGGAUUUGAAUGUGUGGUCUAGAGUACUUGUUAUAAUUGUAGUAUUAUGUUAAUUUAUUAUGUGUUUUGAUGUUAAAAUUGUUAA